rnacentral:tRNA from 1 species
GCCCGGCUAGCUCAGUCGGUAGAGCAUGAGACUCUUAAUCUCAGAGUCGUGGGUUCGAGCCACACGUUGGGCG